rnacentral:rRNA from 1 species
UGGGGAAUAUUGCGCAAUGGGGGGAACCCUGACGCAGCCAUGCCGCGUGAAUGAAGAAGGCCUUAGGGUUGUAAAGUUCUUUCGGUAUUGAGGAAGGUUGAUGUGUUAAUAGCACAUCAAAUUGACGUUAAAUACAGAAGAAGCACCGGCUAACUCCGUGCCAGCAGCCGCGGUAAUACGGAGGGUGCGAGCGUUAAUCGGAAUAACUGGGCGUAAAGGGCACGCAGGCGGUUAUUUAAGUGAGGUGUGAAAGCCCCGGGCCUAACCUGGGAAUUGCAUUUCAGACUGGGUAACUAGAGUACUUUAGGGAGGGGUAGAAUUCCACGUGUAGCGGUGAAAUGCGUAGAGAUGUGGAGGAAUACCGAAGGCGAAGGCAGCCCCUUGGGAAUGUACUGACGCUCAUGUGCGAAAGCGUGGGGAGCAAACAGGAUUAGAUACCCUGGUAGUCCACGCUGUAAACGCUGUCGAUUUGGGGGUUGGGGUUUAACUCUGGCGCCCGUAGCUAACGUGAUAAAUCGACCGCCUGGGGAGUACGGCCGCAAGGUUA